GGAUGCGCAAAAAGGCAUGUGUGUUCCACACCCCUACCCCCCAGAAACGCCCCCCCUUUGUUGUGCACUUCUAAACACCCCCCUGUUUUGCAGCCCUACCCCCAGAAACAGCCCCCUCUCCCCCACGUUGCGCACCCGUAACCCCAGAAACAUCCCCCCCCAACAAAAACAGUGGUCAAAUAAAUUAUGUUUUUCUAUUAGUUCCAUUGUCCUAACACUUCGGACACUUCUGGAUGGCAUAGACAACAGAGGGGAGAAUGUGGUAGUCAGAACCACUAACAGACUAGGUUCUAUAGAUCCUGCUUUACAGAGACCAGGACACUUUGACAGAGAGUUCCUCUUCAACUUGCCAAAUAAAGAGAUUCUUGGACACUUCAGAUGACUCCUACUGGACAUUCUCAGGUAGACCAGCAACAGGAGCUCUUGUGACCAGGCCAAUUGCAAAUGAAGUCAGUUGUUAACCAAUGCCAACGAAAACAAUGACGUGGAAGGACAUAGAGAUUGUGAAGUACUGAACCUAGAAUGCAGUGUGACUGUUUAGUGUCCACACCUGGUGUAGAUUUCUGUAGGCUACCGUUUGCUUUUGGUCAGCUGUAGUUUAGGAGAC